AUGGCUUCAAAGCUUGUGGUUCUUGGAAUCCCCUGGGACGUGGAUACAGAAGGAUUAAAAGAGUACAUGAGCAAGUUUGGCCCCCUGGAUGAUUGCAUUGUUAUGAAGGAUCGCUCAUCUGGUCGAUCUCGUGGUUUUGGAUACGUGACGUUUUCAUCAGUAGAGGAUGCAAAGAAUGUCGUUAACUCUGAGCAUAUUCUUGGAGACCGAACUCUGGAAGUGAAGAUAGCGACUCCCAAGGAAGAAAUGCGAGCUCCAGGAAACAAGAAAGCUACUAGGAUAUUUGUUGCUCGGAUUCCACAGUCUGUGGAUGAGUCAAUGUUUCGCAGGCAUUUUCAAACUUUUGGAGAAAUAACAGAUCUUUAUAUGCCCAAGGAACUGGGUUCAAAAGAACAUCGUGGAAUUGGGUUUGUCACUUUCCGGAGUGCAGAAUGCGUGGACAAUGUCAUGCAAGAAAAUCAUGAGAUUGAUGGCACAACCGUUGUUGUUGAUCGUGCAACUCCGAAGGAUGAAGAAGUCAGGCACCCUCCAAGGAGGGGGGGAGGAGCACAGGGCGAGGGUGGUUAUGGCUCAUACAAUGCAUACAUUACAGCUGCUACCAGAUAUGCAGCUCUGGGCGUACCAACACUGUAUGAUCAUCCUGGGCCAGCUUAUGGAAGAGGUUACUUGAAUGAGCCCCCUGUAUCAAGCAAAAAGAUAUUUAUUGGUAGACUCCCACAAGAAGCAAAUACUGAUGAUUUAUGGGAUUAUUUUGGCCGAUUUGGCAGAAUUGUGGAUGCAUACAUUCCAAAGGAUCCAAAAAAGAGCGGCCACCGUGGUUUUGGUUUUGUUACUUUUGCUGAGGACGGUGUAGCAGAUCGUGUAGCGCGAAGAAGUCAUGAAAUUUUGGGACAGGAGGUUGCUGUAGACUCAGCUGCACCCGUUGAGGGUGGCCCCAGUCGAGGCGGUUACAUUGAACCACCUGGGCCGUAUGGAGCUUACAGCCCGAUGAUGUCUUAUGGCCAGUUCUCUGGCAGUCUUGGUUAUGAUUAUGGUUAUGGUCCCAGUGGAAGUAGCAGCAGAUCAAGAGUACAACCACGCUACAGACCCUACUGA
rnacentral:rRNA from 1 species